GUGUUUGCUUCAGCAGCCCAUAUACUGAUAUUGGAAUAAUGAUACAGAGAAUAUUAGCAUGGCCCCUGAGCAAAGUGUUCCAUAUUUUUCAAAAAGACUCAAAAAUAUUA
ensembl:snRNA U6 U6 spliceosomal RNA